rnacentral:rRNA from 1 species
UGGGGAAUUUUGGACAAUGGACGCAAGUCUGAUUCAGCCAUGCCGCGUGCGGGAAGAAGGCCUUCGGGUUGUAAACCGCUUUUGUCAGGGAAGAAACGAGUUUCUCUAAUACAGAGACUUAAUGACGGUACCUGAAGAAUAAGCACCGGCUAACUACGUGCCAGCAGCCGCGGUAAUACGUAGGGUGCGAGCGUUAAUCGGAAUUACUGGGCGUAAAGCGUGCGCAGGCGGUUAUAUAAGACAGAUGUGAAAUCCCCGGGCUCAACCUGGGACCUGCAUUUGUGACUGCAUAGCUAGAGUACGGUAGAGGGGGAUGGAAUUCCGCGUGUAGCAGUGAAAUGCGUAGAUAUGCGGAGGAACACCGAUGGCGAAGGCAAUCCCCUGGACCUGUACUGACGCUCAUGCACGAAAGCGUGGGGAGCAAACA